GACGAACGCUGGCGGCGCGCUUAACACAUGCAAGUCGUGCGGUACCGAUGGCAAGUCUUCAUGACGAGCCUUCGGUAUAGCGGCGGACGGGUGAGGAAAACGUAGGAACGUGCCCCUUGGAGUUGGAUAGCCACGGGAAACUGUGGGUAAACCGACAUAGACUCGAGAGAGUAAAGGCCGAAAGGCGCCAAGGGAGCGGCCUGCGGCCCAUCAGGUAGUUGGUAGUGUAAAGGACUACCAAGCCGACGACGGGUAGCCGGUCUGAGAGGAUGGCCGGCCACAAGGGCACUGAGAGACGGGCCCUACUCCUACGGGAGGCAGCAGUGGGGGAUUUUGGACAAUGGGCGAAAGCCUGAUCCAGCGACGCCGCGUGGAGGACGAAGCCCUUCGGGGUGUAAACUCCUUUUCUCAGGGAAAAAGGAUGAUGGUACCUGAGGAAUAAGCCCCGGCUAACUACGUG
rnacentral:rRNA from 1 species